GAUGAACGCUGGCGGCGUGCCUAAUACAUGCAAGUCGAGCGAACAGACGAGGAGCUUGCUCCUCUGACGUUAGCGGCGGACGGGUGAGUAACACGUGGAUAACCUACCUAUAAGACUGGGAUAACUUCGGGAAACCGGAGCUAAUGCCGGAUAAUAUAUUGAACCGCAUGGUUCAAUAGUGAAAGACGGUUUUGCUGUCACUUAUAGAUGGAUCCGCGCCGCAUUAGCUAGUUGGUAAGGUAACGGCUUACCAAGGCAACGAUGCGUAGCCGACCUGAGAGGGUGAUCGGCCACACUGGAACUGAGACACGGUCCAGACUCCUACGGGAGGCAGCAGUAGGGAAUCUUCCGCAAUGGGCGAAAGCUUGACGGAGCAACGCCGCGUGAGUGAUGAAGGUCCUCGGAUCGUAAAACUCUGUUAUUAGGGAAGAACAAAUGUGUAAGUAACUAUGCACGUCUUGACGGUACCUAAUCAGAAAGCCACGGCUAACUACGUG
rnacentral:rRNA from 1 species